rnacentral:rRNA from 1 species
UACAGAGGCCUCAAGCGUUGUUCGGAUUCAUUGGGCGUAAAGGGUGCGUAGGUGGCUUGGUAAGUUGAAGGUGAAAUCUCGGGGCUCAACUCCGAAACUGCAUUCGAUACUGCGGUGCUUGAGGACUGGAGAGGAGACUGGAAUUUACGGUGUAGCAGUGAAAUGCGUAGAGAUCGUAAGGAAGACCAGUGGCGAAGGCGGGUCUCUGGACAGUUCCUGACACUGAGGCACGAAGGCCAGGGGAGCAAACGGG